rnacentral:tRNA from 1 species
UGUGAAGUAGCUUAAUGGUAAAGUGAUUGCCUAGUGUGCUUAAGGCCCUGGGUUCCAUUCCAGCAUUGCAA